rnacentral:rRNA from 1 species
GACGUAGGGCGCGAGCGUUGUCCGGAUUUAUUGGGCGUAAAGAGCUCGUAGGCGGCUCGUUGCGUCGGCUGUGAAAACCCGCAGCUCAACUGUGGGCUUGCAGCUGAUACGGGCGGGCUGGGAUUCGGUAGGGGAGACUGGAAUUCCUAGUGUAGCGGUGAAAUGACGCAGAUAUCAGGAGGAACACCGGUGGCGAAGGCGGGUCUCUGGGACGGUACUGACGCUGAGACGCGAAAGCGUGGGGAGCGAACAGG